rnacentral:lncRNA from 1 species
UGGUAACUGCUCCUGUUAAAACUGAUUGUUAUCUACCGUCCACCAGAACAACAGGGUGAUUUCGUCCAUGAGCUGGACACCCUGCUGUCAUCCAUCCCUGAGCAGGAGUGUCCAACACUCAUCCUUGGCGACAUGAACAUCCACCUAGACAAUCCCAACUCAGCUGACUUUCGAACCCUGGUUCACUCGUUCGACCUACAACAGGUCCCCACUCCUCCAACUCACAAAGCAGGAAAAGAGCUUGACCUCAUCCUUGCUCGGAACUGCACCACGGACAACCUAACGGUAACCCCUCUGCAUCGCUCGGACCACUUCUUCAUUCGCUUCGAUGUUCGGCUCAUUGAGCAACCCUCUGUCCCCCCUCCGAUGGUCUCGUUCCGGCGCAACCUCCGCAACCUCUCUCCCACCCACUUUUCCUCUCUGGUUUCUUCUGCUCUUCCACCUUUAUCCACUUUCUCCUCACUAGGUGUCGAUGAUGCCACAGAAUCACUCUGCUCCACUCUGAGCUCAUGCUUGGACACUUUGUGUCCACUUUCCACCAGACCUGCUCGUUCUACCCAGUCUCAUUCGUGGCUGAGUGAUACCCUCCGAACGCAGCGCUCCAAUCUCAGAGCGGCUGAGAGAAAGUGGCACAAAUCUGCAGCACUGGACGAUCUUGCAAGCUACCAGACACUGCUGGCCUCCUUCUCAUCCAGCAUCACUGCUGCUAAGAAGACUUUUUUCAACGACAAGAUCAACGGUGCAACUGACGCUCGGAAACUAUUCUCCACCUUCAAAACUCUGCUCUACCCUCCUCCUCCUCCCCCAGCUACUAACCUCACUGCUGAUAACUUUGCUUCCUUUUUCACAGAGAAAGUGGCAGCCAUCGGGAAACAGUUCGACCAACUAUCUCCCCCCCCCUAAGGGCGCAACCGUCAAUGGCUCAUCAUUUCCUUCUUUCACCCCUCUCAGCGAGAGUGAGGUCUCCAAAAUCCUAACAGGUAGCCGUCCAACUACAUACCCGCUGGACC